GUGAAAUUGUUGAAAGGGAAGCGCUGGCAACCAGACUUGAGUGUAGGGGUUCCCCCUCGCUUCUGCGUGGGUUACUCCCCUAUAUCCAGGCCAACAUCGGUUUUGGCGGUCGGUCAAAGGCCCUGGGAAUGUAUCUUCCCCCGGGAAGACUUAUAGCCCAGGGUGUCAUGCGGCCUUCCGGGACCGAGGAACGCGCUUCGGCUCGGAUGUUGGCGUAAUGGUUGUCAG
rnacentral:rRNA from 1 species